AAGACCAAUAUGAUGUUUAUGUCAGUAAGAGUAACUGACAUUUGUUCCUUUGUUUUUCUAUAUUUUCUAUUCCCGUUUCUGGCGCUUUGAGGGUGUUGGUUGUUUGUCUUUAUCCUUCUUUUAUUGCAUUUUGCUAUUUCAUUUGGUCCUGAAUCUGAGUACUUUGUACUGAAUCUGAAUUACUACCCUGUCAUGAAAUGAAAUAGUCACAAAACUAACUCCUUUCACUUCCUCUAUGCAUACUAGUUCCUCUUGUAUUU
rnacentral:lncRNA from 1 species